rnacentral:rRNA from 1 species
GACGAACGCUGGCGGCGUGCUUAACACAUGCAAGUCGAACGAAGAAUACCGAGCGGAAGCCUUCGGGCCGAAGCAUGGUAUCUCUUAGUGGCGGACGGGUGAGUAACGCGUGAGCAACCUGCCCUGCAACGGGGGACAACAGAUGGAAACGUCUGCUAAUACCGCAUAAGACCACGAUCUCGCAUGGGAUUGAGGUAAAAGGAUUUAUUCGAUGCAGGAUGGGCUCGCGUCCCAUUAGGUAGAUGGUGAGGUAACGGCUCACCAUGCCUGCGAUGGGUAGCCGACCUGAGAGGGUGAACGGCCACACUGGAACUGAGACACGGUCCAGACUCCUACGGGAGGCAGCAGUGGGGAAUAUUGGGCAAUGGGGGAAACCCUGACCCAGCAACGCCGCGUGAAGGAAGAAGGCCUUCGGGUUGUAAACUUUUGUCCUAUGGGACGAAGAAGUGACGGUACCAUAGGAGGAAGCUCCGGCUAACUACGUGCCAGCCGCCGCAGUAACAC